CAAAUCUGCCAAAGCGAGAAUGCAUGUUGGUUUGGCUGGUUGGGCAAAUUCCCUCCUCGGCAUCCGCAUGACAGAAUGUCAUAAAAACUUUAACAAAAAAAAACGUUUACGAAAGAUAGCAUGUGCUUUCGUGGUCUGCGGCUAUAGCUUUACCACAUGCGUCAACUGAUCUUCUCCUGAAUGGGUUUCUAAUAUCCACGCGAUUGGCCAUCGGGUUGUUGGUACCUAAUGCUUCCAGAAUCGUUGCACUAUCAGCUGGCACCUUUGCUGCUUGUCGGGAGUGUACGCCUUCAAUCCAGUUUAGUCGAGAACAGGAGCUGCGUGUAUAGAUGUUCCGAACAAAAAUGGGCUUGGGUGAGUGCUGCCAAAUCAUUCGAGUCGUCGGAUAUGGGACGCAAGUUCAUUGCCGCUUCUAUUUGUUGAUGGUACAGUAUCCUUCGUAACACAGCAUUGAGCUGUCUAGAUGGCGGCAGGGAUGUUGUUUGGCCGUCUUCACAGCUGUUUCCCACAAUCCGCCAAAGCGUAGAGCCUUGGGAUGGACAAAGUACCAAGUAAUACCCCUAUUGGAACAAUCGAUUGCUAUGAUGUUUUGCUGUUGUUCGUUCAUUCGGCAUUCGGCAUUUGGGACCGAAAUUCCACAGCUUGCUCUACAUGAAGUCUGUCGUUGGCAUGCCACGUGAUAACAAACCUGCAGGAUUGGAUGCGCCAUAUAUAUGUUUACGCUGCCACGCGUGUAGUGUUGCACUUCGGAUACCCGAUUUACAACAAAAGUUGCCCAGGUGUUAGUUGCUGCGCGGAACCACUUUAUGGUGACGUCAGAAUCGGACCACAAGAAUUAUUCUGCUUCCUGUAAGCCUAUCGCCUUCUUGAGUCGGUUGUGGAGAUGAGCACCUAACACUACUGCACAAAGUUCGAGCCGAGGAAGUGUGACAAGCUUAAGUGGUGCUACCCGUGAUUUGGAAGACAGUAACGUAAUGCAAAGCUGUCGUUUAUCGUUUUCGCAACGCACAUAAAUGCAGGCUCCGUAAGCUGGCGGUUUCGGAUGCAUCGCAAAAUGUAUGUAGCUGCAUGCUUUCCAUUUCUUGAAGAUCGACUCAGGAACAGGAUUCCUGGAGCAAGCCUUCGCUAAGCAUAAUUCCUUCAUCAUUAUCUUAGCUCGAACGACAAUCGGUGGAAUCAAACCAAGCGAAUCGAACAUGCGUAUGAUCUUGGAAAGGAUUAUGCGUUUAGUAGGGUUCACUUUAUCGGUAUCGAUCGACUAGUGAUGGGAAGGUUCCCAAAAAAAAGGAAUAGAACGGAACUUGGCUCUUUUGGAAAAUUAACGGAACGGAGCUAGCAGGUUUGCUGGACUACUUUCAUGAAAAAAAAUUGUCGACAGAAAGGGGAAGGAAUGUGGAGGGGAAUAGGGGAGUCGAUCGAGACAAACAUUUUGCAGGAAGUUUCGUGAUGGUGACAAUGAUGGCAGAAGGAACAAUUAUUCAUUAAUGUUUAGCGCGUAAAGAUUACCCAGACAUUGCUGGUGCUCUCGCGAUCCAAUGGUCCUGCGGUGAAUACGGCGACGAUUAACAACAACCCCAAGUGAACGAAAUCGGUCUGUUUCGUAAGAAAUUGGAGAAUUGGAGAAUUGGUCCUUUUAGAUCAAGCUCGGGAGUAAAUGAUUCAUUUCUGAAUUUUUGAUGAACUUCCACCAAAAGUGUUCGGAUCGUCUCUCUGGUUUUAGUCGCGGGUGGUUUUAGAUCAUGUACACUUUAUUAUGCGUGUAGUCGCUUCGAGGAUCUCCUACGUUGUGACGAGCUCUCACCGAUUUGUCCGCUAGCGGAUCUACGCAUCUAUGCUACCCAAUUAACAAAUUCACUUUUAUGAUUAUAAUCCCAACAUAGCGGCCACCUAAAUUUACAAAAUUUACUAGAUUUUUCGCUUCUAACCUAUCUAAUAUUCCUUUCAAAAGGUAACAAGCACACCUUCGAAACUGCUCGUUUGAAAACGCUAGAUCGGAUUUUCAACAACACUCAAUGAAGCUCAGCGUAGCAGUUGGCGCUUCGGCAACCACUCUCGUAAAAUUUCCCUUCGAUGGCAAUAUACAAGGAUGCUUGAUGUUGUAACCAGCAGUUGCAAACUCUUAGUGGCCACCAACACGCAGUAAUCCAUCGCUAUCCAAAUAUGGCCGAAGCUUGCGUAUUUUAGAACUUGCUGGAACCGAUUUGUGUCUAGAAAGCCCCCUGAUUUCCUCGUUGAAGUGUUCUUGCUGGACCACUCCUAUCAAUCUUCUCCUUGCCUCAUCUAGUUUACUCAAACUGAUUGGCCUGAUACGUCUUGAUGUGUCUUUCUUUCCUUUGAUGAACCUUAGACAGAGGGCUGCCACUCUCAGCAUCUUCCAAUAGUUUGAGAACUUGUUUAAGAUCUUCUGCUUCCGCUGCUACUAGUAUCAUCUUUCGUCGUUCUAAAACUCUUCUGGAGUUUCUUCUGGAGUAAGCAAUCGUUCUUCAUACCCCCAAUUAACUUCAACACCAGACGAAUAUAACCAUGCCGGACCUUGGAACCAUUCUGCUUUGCCUAAAAGGUUCGCGGGCAAUGAACCCCUUUACACAAUAUCUGCUGGAUUCUCCGUACCCUUUACGUGCAGCCAUCUAUGGUUGGCACUUUCUUCUUGCACCAGGGCCACAUGAUUAACGACGUACGUUGUCCAUGUGUAAGAGGGUGCCAAUGAACCUCCCACGAAAUAAUUAGCCCACGAAACAACCGGAGCUAUCAAACCAAGCGACCAUAGAGUACGCUAAACGUCUUUUGAAGGGGACUGAUGUAAAAUCAACGUUCACAGUGAUGCAUAAAUUGUCCGAUGCAGGAAGCUAAGAUACGCCCAACGUCUUAACAUGUUCUUCCAAACCAAAUGAUACUUCACGACUAGUACUUCGCGCGUCUAGCGGAACAGCUUUCAUUAUCCAUGACUUAUUCGAGCUCCGCUUCUUUAAUCCAAAGCCUCCUUACUUCAGUAAUUCGAUUCGUUGCUCUUAAAGUUGCAAUACUUCAUCUUUGCUGUUGGCUCCGCCGAUGAAGCCGUCUGCAUAGAAAUUUUCACAUAAAGUUUUCUGUGCUAAUGGUAAAGAAUCGCCUUCAUCUUUAGCCAGCUGUAGCCAGAAAAGAUGAUGGUGUGAGUCCAAACUUAACUCUCUGCAGCUCGUAGGUGUCGAUGGGUUUCUUUUCAGAUGACCGCCAAAGAAUGCGUUUUGGGAGGUUUGAUCUGCAUGUACUUUAACUUGGAGGUACAUUUUCUCUAUAUCCGCUACUAACGCUACACGCUACAUUCGGAAACGAAGCAACAGAUCCAACAGUUGCUCUUGCACGACUGGACCUACAAGUAAAAUGUCGUUUAAAGAGAAAUCUGAUGAAGUUUUUGCUGAACCAUCAAAUAGUGGCCUGAUUUUUGUGCUCGAGCUGGAUGACUUUAAGACAGGAUAAUGCGGCAGGUAGCAUACAGGAUAUUCGAUGUUACUCAUGUCGAAUGUUACCUUCUUGAGAUAUCCUCGUUGAACAACAGUUUUAAUUCUGCAUCUUUCGAAUCUCCAGUCAAGUCGUUGAAUUCAGCCUUACAGGAAAGCUUAACUAUAUAUCUUACUUCUUCAUCUCGUCGAUAGUUCCGCUGAAAAUUAUCUUCACAAUCACGUUCUUCUUGUGAUUGUGUUGUAGAUUGUGGCAACUCUUCGACUGCCCAUAACCAUUCUAUCUGCCUAGCCAAAUCAUACUCAUCGCCAACUGUGCAAAUACUGGUUUCUAGCAUAUUGUUGCUUCGUUCAUCGCUCGGCAUCUUUCCCAUGCUAAUUCAACCAGCUAAUUCAAUAAAAAAAUCCACAUCUUCGGUUUGGUCGAAGUUUGGGUCAGCUAAAUCGAAAUCUCGCGGUAAUUUGGCUUUCAUUGCAGUGACAUCUACAUUCGGUUUUCGGUAAUUCGGUAAUUUUCGGCAUUAGUACAAAACCUAUCUGCUGUUCGUAAUUCGUAAUAAUGUAGAAACGCUUCGUCUUCCAACGCCAAAUAACCGCAUGCCAUUUGACAACUGCGACAAACCAAGUUGCUUACAAAGGGUUUCUGCCAUAAAGUUGACUUGUGCUCCGUUGUCAAGAAGUGCCUUCGCUAAGCUUCAUCUCCCACUAGCACCUUUAACCUUGAUGAUCGCUGUCGAUAACAACACGUGUUUAGAUCUUCGGGAAUAGCAGCUGUCAAAUUUGAGAUUUCUUCUGGCUUGACUACGCGUUGAUCUUGUACCAUUUGCGUUAGCAUACCUUUGAUUUAACUCCAAGUUAGCAUGCAGAAGAGUGUGAUGCUUGCCGGAACGAUGCGUACAACGAAAUCUGGAUUUCGUGCAACGACACUUCUUUGCCCAAUGACCAUGCGACAGGCAAUUGUUACAAAGCUUAUUCAGACGGACGAAAUUAGAUUGCUCAUUCGUUGUUAGCUGCUUUAAGUCCUCCCAUUUCCAUAACAGAUGCUGCUCGUUGUAUUUCUCACACGUUGGUGAAGAGCUAGAAACUGCCACAUUUGCUACAAAACGCCGUUGUACCUGUCUACCUGGAGUGCGAUGGUCAGCCGCUGCUGCAUCCAAUAUCGUCGUUUGUGAAUGAAACUCCUACGUAUCCGUAACCCGAUGCGCUUUCGCCUAGCUGCGUUAGCAGUUUAGUGUGUCUUUUAAAACUAUCCACUAAAGCAUGUAUUGAGUCAAUGCUUUUCGCUUUUAACUUGGGCCAAUUUAUCAAUGCAUUUACAUGCUGUUCCAUCAAAACGUUCUUUUUAUUGUACCGUUUGUUCAACGUUUUCCAUGCGACCUCGUAACUCGCAUCACACGUUGUAAAGGUGUCAAUGACCUUCAAUGCCUCAACUUUCAAAGAGGAUCGCAUGUAGCACAUUUUCUUUGUUCCAGUUAAACUUUUAUUAUCGAGCACAUAAAUUACGGAAUGCGAGACAAUCCUCAAACCUGCCAGAAAAUUCCGGUAUGGUGAUUUUUGGAAGCCUCAUGUGUUGAGGCCGUUAUCGGCCACCGUCAUCGUCAUUGCAGGAUGCCUCUUCCAAAGUCGUCAUAAGGUCUACCUUAACAUAGAAAAGCUCCAGAAAACUAUUUGUCUUCUCCUGAUGCUUUGGCUGUUCACUUAUAUUUUCUUCAAACCGUUUAUACGUAUCGACUGGACAAUCCAGCCGACAUUUUAUUACGGACUUGUCCGCCUUCAUUAUGGUUUUCAGAAAGACCACAUGGUUCUCCAACGCUACUAUACACGCAUCCAAUCGUUUCACCUUUAGUUCGAGUUCCGCCAUUUUCUGCUCCUCGUGUGAUGCUGCUGGCUUUCUACCUGGUUUACGCACAGUUGGUUUUCUUUCCGGUGCUAAUUUAGUCAGUGGUAUUGCGUUUCCUUUAACCUUCGGUCUCGUUUCCAUUUAACAGCUAAUGACCUUUCGCAUAAUGCGCGUGUUGUACACGUCACUCACAUUCACACUACUGUUCAAAACGGAAUGCCAAUCUAUAGUUUUUACUGCCCGAAUCCUGCUUCGCACGGCAUUACUUCUUACACUUCUUACAACCUUUAUUCUUUGCUGCAGAAGCUCGAAUCCUGCUUCGUAUCAGAUUACGUCCACGCUUUUGCUCGCCGAAUUUACUACACGCACUUUUACUAUCACCAACUGCACACUACGCUGCACAGUAUCUGUUCGAUAGCUCUUCCAGU